rnacentral:rRNA from 1 species
GCAGUCGAGCGGACCGACGGGAGCUUGCUCCCUUAGGUCAGCGGCGGACGGGUGAGUAACACGUGGGUAACCUGCCUGUAAGACUGGGAUAACUCCGGGAAACCGGGGCUAAUACCGGAUGCUUCAUUGAACCGCAUGGUUCAAUGAUAAAAGGUGGCUUUUAGCUACCACUUACAGAUGGACCCGCGGCGCAUUAGCUAGUUGGUGAGGUAACGGCUCACCAAGGCAACGAUGCGUAGCCGACCUGAGAGGGUGAUCGGCCACACUGGGACUGAGACACGGCCCAGACUCCUACGGGAGGCAGCAGUAGGGAAUCUUCCGCAAUGGACGAAAGUCUGACGGAGCAACGCCGCGUGAGUGAUGAAGGUUUUCGGAUCGUAAAACUCUGUUGUUAGGGAAGAACAAGUACCGUUCGAAUAGGGCGGUACCUUGACGGUACCUAACCAGAAAGCCACGGCUAACUACGUGCC